rnacentral:rRNA from 1 species
AGAGUUUGAUCAUGGCUCAGGACGAACGCUGGCGGCGUGCUUAACACAUGCAAGUCGAACGGUGAUGAGGAGCUUGCUUCUCUGAUCAGUGGCGAACGGGUGAGUAACACGUGAGUAACCUGCCCCAAACUCUGGGAUAAGCACUGGAAACGGUGUCUAAUACCGGAUACGAGCUUCAGCCGCAUGGCUAGGAGUUGGAAAGAAUUUCGGUUUGGGAUGGACUCGCGGCCUAUCAGCUAGUUGGUGAGGUAAUGGCUCACCAAGGCGACGACGGGUAGCCGGCCUGAGAGGGUGACCGGCCACACUGGGACUGAGACACGGCCCAGACUCCUACGGGAGGCAGCAGUGGGGAAUAUUGCACAAUGGGCGCAAGCCUGAUGCAGCAACGCCGCGUGAGGGACGACGGCCUUCGGGUUGUAAACCUCUUUUAGUAGGGAAGAAGCGAAAGUGACGGUACCUGCAGAAAAAGCACCGGCUAACUACGUGCCAGCAGCCGCGGUAAUACGUAGGGUGCAAGCGUUGUCCGGAAUUAUUGGGCGUAAAGAGCUCGUAGGCGGUUUGUCGCGUCUGCUGUGAAAACCCGAGGCUCAACCUCGGGUCUGCAGUGGGUACGGGCAGACUAGAGUGCGGUAGGGGAGAUUGGAAUUCCUGGUGUAGCGGUGGAAUGCGCAGAUAUCAGGAGGAACACCGAUGGCGAAGGCAGA